rnacentral:rRNA from 1 species
UGCGUAGGCGGAUUGAUAAGUCAGUGGUGAAAACCUGCAGCUUAACUGUAGAAUUGCCAUUGAUACUGUUAGUCUUGAGUACGGUCAAGGUAGGCGGAAUGUGUAAUGUAGCGGUGAAAUGCUUAGAUAUUACACAGAACACCGAUUGCGAAGGCAGCUUACUGGGCCAUUACUGACGCUGAGGCACGAAAGCGUGGGGAGCGAACAGGAUUAGAUACCCUGGUAGUCC